rnacentral:tRNA from 1 species
GCGCCCGUAGCUCAGCGAAUAGAGCAUCGGUCUUCGGAACCGAGGGUCGGGGGUUUGAAUCCCUCCGGGCGCGCCA